rnacentral:lncRNA from 1 species
UUAGAGGAAUCUAAUGACUUACCCAAGGUAACAGAGCAAGAAAAGCUUCGUCGCUGGGAUUCUGAUUCUGGAUUUACACACUCCUCAUUCCAUCUGACUUCAUAAUGAAAUCACACUGUAGAUGAGAGUACACCAAAAUCCAAGGAUGCUCAAGUCUGUGUUAUAAAAUGACAAGGACACUGUAGGAAAGAAAAAAGAGAAUCUUUGAAAGUCAUACCACUG